rnacentral:rRNA from 1 species
AGCGACCUACGGGAGGCAGCAGUGAGGAAUAUUGGUCAAUGGCCGAGAGGCUGAACCAGCCACGUCGCGUGAGGGAAGACGGUCCUAUGGAUUGUAAACCUCUUUUGUCGGGGAGCAAAAGACGCCACGUGUGGCGUUCCGAGAGUACCCGAAGAAAAAGCAUCGGCUAACUCCGUGCCAGCAGCCGCGGUAAUACGGAGGAUGCGAGCGUUAUCCGGAUUUAUUGGGUUUAAAGGGUGCGCAGGCGGCAGAUCAAGUCAGCGGUAAAAUUGAGAGGCUCAACCUCUUCGAGCCGUUGAAACUGG